CUUCCUCCAUCCUGCUCUCUCUUCUCAGAAACCCAAAAAACAAAACUCUCUCCUUCCCCCAAAAUCAAAAUCCAAAACUUAGAUGAGAAAGAAGUAAGCGAUCAAAGGUAGAGCUGAUCAGAUACAAAGAGUCUCGCACCCACCUUCAAGCGCCUCCCCUUCUAUUGCUGCGGGUAGAGCUGAUCAGAUACAAAGAGUCUCGCACCCACCUUCAAGCGCCUCUCCUUCUAUUGCUGCGGGUACCUGUUCUCUCUUUCAAAUUCAUUCAUUGUUAUUUGAAUCUCUCUCUAAUUUUCAAAAUUCUUUUAUUUUGUGCUUUGCAGUCCUACAUUGACACUUUUUAUUUUCUGGUAAUUCUCCAACUUCUUUUCAUUCUAAAUUUAAUCCGUUUAGUUUAAAGUUAGGGUUUUCAAAAUUUCAGUUAUAGUGCGUGGUAGGUGUUUGAUGCUGGGUCUCAGUUAAUAAAUCCUUAUUGUUUGUUA